AAUAGCCUAACGGCUGAACCAGCAACUUGGAGGAAUGAAUAGCAAUAGCUAAUUGCGCAAAUACAUGAUGCAAUAUCGACUCAGUCGAAUAAAAUUCAGGUUAAAAUUAUGAUAAUGACAUUGUUUAGCCAUUUGUCUUGACCAAAUUACGUGCCAGCAGUCGCGGUAAUACGUAGAAGACUAGUGUUAUUCAUCUUUAAUAGGUUUAAAGGGUACCCAGACGGUAAAUCAAGCCUUAGACGGGACUAAUUUGCUAGAGUUACUUACGCGGGGGUUUUAAAGUACUAAUGGUGUAGAGAUAAAAUUUUGUAAUACCAUUUUUCGAAAGAAAAGUUAUGGCACUGGUAAAGGCGAAAGCAUCCCCUAAUGUGAUAACUGACGUUGAAGGACGAAGGCUUUGGAUCGCGAAUAGGAUUAGAUACCCUAGUAGUCGAAGCAGAAAAUUAUGAGUGUUAUAGAUUAGAGAUUAACUUUAUUUUAUAAAUGAAAGUGUAAGCACUCCACCUCAAGAGUAAUUUGGCAACAUUGGAACUGAAAUCAUUAGACCGUUUCUGAA
rnacentral:rRNA from 1 species